UACGUAGGUGGCAAGCGUUGUCCGGAUUUACUGGGCGUAAAGCGUGCGCAGGCGGUGAUGUAAGACCGAUGUGAAAUCCCCGGGCUUAACCUGGGAACUGCAUUGGUGACUGCAUUGCUAGAGUAUGGCAGAGGGGGGUGGAAUUCCACGUGUAGCAGUGAAAUGCGUAGAGAUGUGGAGGAACACCGAUGGCGAAGGCAGCCCCCUGGGCCAAUACUGACGCUCAUGCACGAAAGCGUGGGGAGCAAACAGG
rnacentral:rRNA from 1 species